rnacentral:lncRNA from 1 species
AAAAUUUGGAAAGAACAUGAGAGAGUGAAGAGUUUUUAUCACUUUUAUUUUGGUAGAAGUGUAUUAAGCUAAUGCGAAUUAUAGACCAUUUUGAUUUGACUAUCCAAUAUUUCAAAAUUUUGAUUUUAGUAUUUAAUCUUUCAAUACAUUUGAUUUAAGUGAUUUGGAAUACAAAACUAAUUUCUUACUUUAAUAAACUUAUAGUUGUAUAGAUUACAUAAAAUACAUUAACUAAACUUAUAAAGAUAAAUAAUACAUUUAAAUUUUAAAGUUAAACAACCAUUAAUUGACUCAAAUGAAAAAAA